CAUAGUGUUGCAGGCGAACGAGGGGAAGUGAAACAUCUCAGUACCCUUAGGAAAAGAAAUCAAUUGAGAUUCCCUCAGUAGCGGCGAGCGAACGGGGAUCAGCCCAUUAAGUUAUGUGUGUUUUAGUGGAACGCUCUGGGAAGUGCGAACGUAGAGGGUGAUAUUCCCGUACACGAAAGGGCACACAUAAUGAUGACGAGUAGGGCGAGGCACGUGAAACCUUGUCUGAAUAUGGGGGGACCAUCCUCCAAGGCUAAAUACUCCUGACUGACCGAUAGUGAACCAGUACCGUGAGGGAAAGGCGAAAAGAACCCCUGUGAGGGGAGUGAAAUAGAUCCUGAAACCGCAUGCAUACAAGCAGUGGGAGCACCUUCGUGGUGUGACUGCGUACCUUUUGUAUAAUGGGUCAGCGACUUAUAUUCAGUAGCGAGGUUAACCGUAUAGGGGAGCCGUAGAGAAAUCGAGUCUUAAUAGGGCGUUUAGUUGCUGGGUAUAGACCCGAAACCAGGCGAUCUAUCCAUGAGCAGGUUGAAGGUUGGGUAACACUAACUGGAGGACCGAACCCACUGUCGUUGAAAGCCAGGGGAUGACUUGUGAUAGGGUGAAAGGCUAAUCAGCUGGUGAUAGCUGGUUCUCCCGAAGCUAUUAGUAGCGCCUCGGACGAAUACAAAGGGGUAAAGCACUGUUUCGCUAGGG
rnacentral:rRNA from 1 species